rnacentral:lncRNA from 1 species
GAGGCAUUCUCUGUGCCAUUCUGGGGAGUACGGAUAUGUCCUGUGAAGACCAGAGGGGUUAACAGGUCUCCUUAGGAAUUUCAGUCUGGUUCUGCUAGUGGGGGGAAGGUCAAUCCAAUGAUCUUGUUUACUCUCAUGGCUUUACAUGUGAGGGUCAGACUGUCCAUCUCUUCGAUUACUUGCCCCAAAUUAGACAAUCUCUUCUUCGAAUUGAAAUUGUCAAUAAUUGUUCUAAUGGUGUUAAUGUUGAAAGCUGUUCUCUGAAAGAGUUGGUUAGUUAUCUUGCUUCAGACUGUGGUGCUAGGAGUUGAUUUACAACAUCCUGCCUUUCUGUGGAAUUCGGCUCAUGUUUCAACCAGGCUCCCGAUCGAAUCUUUAAUUUGUCUGGUUCAGGCCUCAUACGCUACACCAGUUUGUUUUUGUCUAUUUUCUAUUACAAUUUAAUGUUUUUGUAUUAGUUUGCAUUGCAUGUAUGUAUGUAAUGAAUGUAUUUACUAUAAAUCUCUAUAAUUAGAUUACUAUUAGAUUGUAUAAGGUUUAUUUUUUUUUGUCACCAGAGGUUUGAGUUUAUUAGUUCUAUGUAUUUCAAGGUAAUGGUAGGAGCACAUCAGGACCCGGACUAAAGGUGAGGUGUAAAUAUUAAAAAUAAAGGUGGUAUUUUGGUCGUUAGGACAAACUUGGUACGUUGCUGCGACCAAUAUGAUCCGGUACUGUCACGUCCUCACAACGUGCCAGUUUGGUCGUUAGGACGUUCUCAUCAUGUUCCAGCGACGUACCAAAUAACGUCGCCACGACGGAUAUGGGAAUCACAAAGUUACGUCGCUGGAACAUUAUUUGGUACGUCGCUGCGACGAAUAUGGUCUGGUCCAGUUACGUCGUCACGACGUAACUGUGUUAGCUGGGUUGUCUUUCUUUUGUUUAUCUAUAGUUCUCCCACAUGCUCCAUCCAAUGUAGUCUGCCGAAGCCUUCCUCCACUGUUUGUUUGGGUGGGUGAUUUGCUGGCAUCAACGGUGUGCAUUGCAUUUAAGUGAUACUUCAGACUCAAAGUACUCUGAUGAUAAGACAAUUCAGCUUUGCAGUGGUUACAAAUAGUUUUAGUUCUAUCAACUCCACCGUGUGGAAGAGGUUUAAAAUAAAAAUGUCCAUUUAAGAUUUCGGUACCUUUUUCCAUUUUUCUGUCCGCACCAGAUAUUUUCUGUUUCGCGCUGUAGCUCUCUUAGGCAC